GGGCACUAUUAAGGUGGCUGUGCAAAGCCUGUGAGAUUUGGAAUCUAAUAUUGCCUUUUCUGCAUUACCAAACCAAAGCCCAGGCUAGAGUACAUUAUAGAGCAUCCUAGAGCUUUCUACCUAGCCUACUUUCCACUGAAGUCAGCUAGUAUAGUGGCAGAGCAUAGGCUUCUUAGCCAAAGAAUCAUCUGAGUUCUUACCCUAUCUUGUCAUUUAAGUUGGGGUGAUCCUGGAUAAUUCUCACCUAAUUUCUCUGAAUUCUGAUUCUCUCAUCAAUAAAAUGAGGAUACAGAAGACUUCUGGGUUUGUUGUAAGAAUUAGUGAUAAUACAUGCAAAAUGCAGUGGGGAUGGAUAGUUCUGUCUAGUUCCUUCCUGGCAUAGUUUAAGUUUGAGCACAAGGCAUCGAUAUGAUAUAAAUCAGGCUGAAAUUUCAGAAGUGAUCAUUUAUUAAUUUUGGAAUUUUAGAAUUGGGUGCCAUAGCAUGCAUUAAAAAUCCAUCAUUACCUUAUGAGGAGUCUAGAGAGAUUGACUUUUUUGUCAGAGCUUUUCAUCUGUCAGUUUUAAACAGGAGGAACAUAAAAAUUAUGCUACUUGUUAGACCGGAAGAAAAUUAUUGCACGAAAACUUGGAAAGACACUGAUAAUCAAUUGUCAGGUUUACAUUCCAUUGUAAAUCUUUUAAAGAUAGAUUGGUCUGGCUCUGUGAGAAAAUAUAGCCAUUAUUAAAUGAGGUUAUUAUUUCCUAUUUUGUUUUAUGUAGAUAGCAGUGUCAAUUUGUACUUCCUUAGGAAAAAUAAUAAAUGAUUUCAUGACUUUUGGUGAUUACAUGUUUGCUCAGUAAAUACCUUUGUGCUCCUGAUGGGGAGUGGGUGACCCAUGUAGACCACAGAGCAUCAGGCAAUCAGAGGAUGUGAAGGUAACUAAUGAGCUGAUCACCUCAAAUUUUUAGAAACAUUUACUAUUCAUUAUUCAGAAUUUCAGAGUGUUAUUUAGUGGUAGAAGAGUAAGAAUUGUAAACUUGACUUUGAGUGAGGGGCCUUCCUUUAACAAUAUUAAUAAAAGAAAAAAUUUUUGCCCGUCAGUAGAGAUUAUUUUCUGAAGGCAUACAGAUGUC
rnacentral:lncRNA from 1 species